UUACAAGCGAUGAAAAGAGCAUAGUAGCAAAAUCUUCCCUGUAUUCAGAGAGCUGAUGGUUGGUGCGAAUCAGUACAAAAGAGAUUGCGAAUUACAUUCUUGGAGCUUUCUUUUGGCGAUAGUCAAAAGCGGCAAUAGCCGUUAUUUUAAUGAAGAGGCAAGCAAUGCUUGCAAUUAGGGUGGUACCGCGAUCAAUUCGUCCCUACU
rnacentral:ncRNA from 2 species